CAACAGCCGGAUCUGAUUCGACGCCACCUUUACUUACCAAAGGCAUCUGGCAUGGUCACGGUCACAUCAUCUGUAGCAGCGCUGUAGUCCGCAGAAAAAGCCCCCGGACGAAAUCUAUGUCAACAAAGACAUAGAACAAGAGGCACUGAACAUCGUUGUGCCGCAGUCUGCUCAGGGAGAGCCCCGUCUUCAGUCCUGACCCUGAGCCAGGGAAAGAGAGACGCCAGCCACAAGCCACACCGCCAACGCCGCCAACGGCACCAACAGCAGUAGCACCACCGCCAACGGCACACCAACACUAACCGCAGCUGAUGGUGACUAGAAGAAACACAUCUGCUUACGUUUUCCUGGGUCUGAUAAAGAGGAAGCAUCUGUAACUGUCGAAGAUGAGCGUGACUAGAAGAAACACAUCUGCUUACGUUUUCCUGGGUCUGAUAAAGAGGAAGCAUCUGUAACUGUCGAAGAUGAGCGAUUUCACUUCUCCUUCGUCUGACGCAUUUCACAGUCAGAUUCAAACAUUCAUCUUGUAUGGGCAAUGUCAUGUAAUCAUGAAUUUCCUUUACUGUCUAAGCAAAAAAACAAUUGGACAGACAUGAUUCCAGUAAAACGUUAUCAAAUACAAUUAAAAGUAUCACAGAUUAAGAAGCUGCAUGCGUCUACAGUUUACCCUUUAUGUUACUCGUAUUAAGCCUACUAUGCAAAUAUGGGUGACAUAUUCAUUUGAGAGCUUAUAUGGCCCAUUUCAUUUCUAGAAUGCUAAGAGAAAAAAAGUCGAUCAUGGCUUCAGACAGUUUGAUCUAACCUGAUUAUCGUGGUAGAUUUGAAGUUGGUCGCACACUUCAUCGAAGGGGUACUUAUAUCUACCGUUGACGGUAAUGUUUUUACAUUGUACAGGUACCUCUUCGGGGGGUUUUAGACAGUAUAUGCGGUCUAAAAACGCGAUAGGGUUAUUGUUAGAUUAUACAUGCCUUUUGAAUGUAAAAUGUUAAUACAACUGUAUCCAACACAAUCACUAUUAUGCUAUCGACUGCAGCAGUUUAUACAUAAAUAAACAUAUUGCAACAUUCCUUUAAAUGAUCGUAGGCCAAGCCCACAGUUCACUUUAAACACGUGUCCAGCCUACUUCCAGACUAAUUUAACAAAGUUAAUCUGAGAAAUUAAUAAAAUUAAUAAAUUAA
ensembl:lncRNA